rnacentral:lncRNA from 1 species
GCCCUUUCAGUGGCUUUGGAGGUGAAGAUUGACACUUCCACGGGGAGAACCUCGAGGCCGAUGGAAGCUGGACCUGCUUCAUUUGGACCUUCUUUGGUCGGGCGUGAAAGAACAGCAUGGCGGCUCACUUCGAUCGGGCCCACCUCUAUCGGGUGCAUAGGAGAAGUAGGCGGCCUGCUUCAAUCGGGCCUCCGUCAGACAGGCCCGUGCAUGUAGGUGGAGCACAACAUCAUCCAUGGGGGUAGGAUCGACGGUGAUAGAUUCGUAAGAGUAGGGUCGGCUGU